rnacentral:sRNA from 1 species
ACAAAAAAUGAAAAAAAA